rfam:Picea glauca, whole genome shotgun sequence.
GACCCGAAAGAUGGUGAACUAUGCUUGAGCAGGGCGAAGCCAGAGGAAACUCUGGUGGAGGCCUGUAGAGAUAUUUACGUGCAAAUUGUUCAUCUGACUUAGGUAUAUGAUCAAAAUCUGGAUCAAG